rnacentral:rRNA from 1 species
UACGUAGGGUGCGAGCGUUAAUCGGAAUUACUGGGCGUAAAGCGUGCGCAGGCGGUUUUGUAAGCCAGAUGUGAAAUCCCCGGGCUUAAACCUGGGAAUGGCAUUUGGGACUGCAAGGCUGGAGUUUGGCAGAGGAGACUGGAAUUCCUGGUGUAGCAGUGAAAUGCGUAGAUAUCAGGAGGAACACCGAUGGCGAAGGCAGGUCUCUGGGCUGAAACUGACGCUCAUGCACGAAAGCGUGGGGAGC